AGCAGCCGCGGUAAUUCCAGCUCCAAUAGCGUAUAUUAAAGUUGUUGCAGUUAAAAAGCUCGUAGUUGAAUUUCGGGGUUAGUAAGUUGGUCAUGCCAUUGGUAUGCACUGGCUUUACUGAUUCCUCCUUCUUGACGAACCGUGAUGUCAUUAAUUUGGUGUUGCGGGAAAUCAGGACUGUUACUUUGAAAAAAUUAGAGUGUUUAAAGCAGGCUAACGCUUGAAUACAUUAGCAUGGAAUAAUGAAAUAGGACGUUAAUCCUAUUUUGUUGGUUUCUAGGAUCGACGUAAUGAUUAAUAGGGAUAGUUGGGGGCAUUAGUAUUCAAUUGUCAGAGGUGAAAUUCUUGGAUUUAUUGAAGACUGACUACUGCGAAAGCAUUUGCCAAGGAUGUUUUCAUUAAUCAAGAACGAAAGUUAGGGGAUCGAAGACGAUCAGAUACCGUCGUAGUCUUAACCAUAAACUAUGCCGACUAGGGAUCGGAUGAUGUUAUUUUUAAUGACUCA
rnacentral:rRNA from 1 species